UUAGCAUGGACUUCUUUAAACAGAGAUUUUUCUAUAAGUGAUAGUCAAAUAUAAAAGUCCACGUAUGCCGCGAAGAAGUCACGUAGUUACUGAACAAAUACUUCUAAGAGCAGGAAGUAGUUAGUAUCAGACAUCUCCCAUGCUAGUGUCGUGACGUCUUCAAUUGGCCAUUAAUCAAGUAAAUACCGUAUUCACGUUUUAUUUAAGUGCGAUUUCAAAAUGAUUGAUGAAUGAUUGAAACCAGCUAUGAUUGGUUUUACCGGUCAGGAAAUGCAAUUCAAAUAACAAUUAAACAGCGGAAAAUCGACUAAGUCCAUGUAAAAUUGAAGCCUACAACAUAUUACCUGAUUCUAUACAAACGUUAAAAAUUCUUGUUGUACAUAUGUAUUUAUUUAUAAUAUUCAUUUUUAUUUAUGUAUGUAUUUAUUUAAAAACGUAUAAAAGUGUAUCUAUAUCAGUUUCCAUGGUACCCAUAACACAGGGCAUCUUAAAUUCGGACCGAAUGGUGCGUGAUUUGUUCCCAGUUAUUUAUUUUUAUAUUUUUAACUGGGUCGUUGCUUAGAACAGCACCAACCGAUCACUUUGCGUGUCGUAAAAGGCAACUAAGGUAUUCACCAAAGAGUGGGCAGCAGCGUUAUACAACCUUUCAGGAACAACAAGGAUAACCAAAAUUCAAAACCAACAGAAUUCAAAAUCGAAUUAAAAAAAAGCAUUUGAAAUGCAAAUAAAUUAAUUCAUCGUCGUGUUCAAGGCACUAAGGAAGUACUUGAAAUAAAUUGAAUUCAGAUGGAAAGUUAAGAAGAGACGAAGGGGGGACGAAAUAAUAAAAUUGUCAAAACGCGCUUACUAUGUCCACAAAUUGUAUAACUUUAAACAAACCAAUUUACUUUUUACGAUAGUUUACCUUUUUAUUAUUACUAUUUUAAUUUGUACACAUUACUCUGUACUCGUAGUCCUUUAUAAUUAGUUAGUUCAUUGUGCUGAAUGUAGUAAUGAUAUACAAAUGUAAUAUUUAUAAUAAUAAUAUUCCGCCCUAUAUCGUCUGCGUGAAGUACAAUUUAUGUCGCGUAGGCGGUAAGCCGAAAUGCUAUGACAAGUAUAGCCUAUAUUCUUUUGCAGAGAAUAAACUAUUUCCAUACCGAAUUUCGUCAAAAUCAGUUUAGGCGUGAAAACGUAACAGACAAAUCAGUUACUUUGAUAUUUAUUAUAAUUUAUUUAAAACAAUUUUGAAAUCGUCGUGGCCUAAAGGAUAAGACGCCUGGUGCAAUCGUAUCAAGCGAUGCAACUGUGCCGGCGUUCGAAUCCGGCAGGCAGGUACCAAUUUUGCUAAUGAAAUAUAAUACGUACUUAACAUUUGUUCACGAUUGACUUCCAUGGUGAAGGAAUAACAUCGUGUAAUAAAAAUCAAACCCGCAAAAUUAUAAUUUACGUAAUAAAUUGCGUAUUAUAAUUCGGUGGUAGGACGUCUUGUGAAUCCGCACGGGUAGGUACCACUACCCUGCCUAUUUCUGCCGUGAAGAAGUAUUACGAUUCGGUUUGAAGGAUGGGGCAGCCGUUAAACUAUACUGCAUAAACUGACACCUUAGAACUCAUCUCUCGAGCCGGGAGGUAUAAUUUACGUUCUAGAUUUCUAUGAGCUCCGGUAACCAUUUAACACCAGGUGGGCUGUGAACUCGUCCACGCAUCUAAGCAAUAAAAAAAAAAUAAAAAAUAAACAAAAAAUGUAUAUAUUAUAUAUUUUCCUUUUUACCGCAUUUGAUGAAAAAAACCCAUAUUCCGCUUUAAAAUAAUCACUGCCGUCCGUUCGAUAGUUGCGGAAAUGUGUGCGAACACAUGUACAAAAAAAACAGAUACACAGACAGGCAGAUAUUUGAAAUAAUUAAAAAAGUUCUCCAUUACUCUU